rnacentral:sRNA from 1 species
CUGAGAAUCUUGAAGUAAGUUAAAUAAUUGCAUAUCAAAGACACCAAACCAGAAUGGAAGAAAAUUUAAAACAUCUCAGAUAGAUAUGCUGAACUAUGUAGAUAUAGGGCCUUCAAGUAAGACAACGUAGCCUUAACCGCAACCAAGUGGUAUAGAAAGUCUAGAUAUUUUUAAUGUUGUAUCUUUUUUUCUGGUAUACAGGGAAAGCCAGAGAGCUGUGCAGUUACUCCUCGAUUUCCCAAAUCAAAAGAUGAAGGAUGGUUUUUGAUAUUAGGAGAAGUGGACAAGAGAGAACUUAUUGCUUUGAAAAGAGUAGGAUAUAUUCGAAAUCAUCAUGUUGCUUCCCUUUCUUUUUAUACCCCUGAAAUACCUGGAAGGUAUAUCUACACAUUAUAUUUCAUGAGUGACUGCUACCUUGGCCUGGACCAGCAGUAUGACAUCUAUCUCAACGUUACACAAGCGAGUCUUUCUGCACAGGUCAACACCAAGGUCUCUGAUUCCCUGACUGACCAGGCAUUAAAGUAACUUGACCUGAACAAUCCAUUUGAAAGGAGUGGCUGAGAAUUCUCUCUGUUCAGUCAUCUAGACAACAUCGAAUUACUUGAUGUUUGCCUUGAAAGAAUCAACUUCUAACCUCAACCAUCCAGGAAAUUGACAGUGGCUGCAGUAUUGACUCCAGUGACAUAAAGUUAAC